rfam:Oryza barthii chromosome 3, whole genome shotgun sequence.
AGGUAGGAUUCAAAAUAGAAGAUGCCUACCUGAUACAAUCUUCCUAGAGUAAAGUUGUCAUUUCCUGCUUGUGGUAUUGUUAGCAAGUCCUGCAAGUCUCAAAUGUCAAGACAGCUGC